GACGAACGCUGGCGGCGUGCUUAACACAUGCAAGUCGAACGGAAAGGCCCUGCUUUUGUGGGGUGCUCGAGUGGCGAACGGGUGAGUAACACGUGAGUAACCUGCCCUUGACUUUGGGAUAACUUCAGGAAACUGGGUCUAAUACCGGAUAGGAGCUCCUGCUGCAUGGUGGGGGUUGGAAAGUUUCGGCGGUUGGGGAUGGACUCGCGGCUUAUCAGCUUGUUGGCGGGGUAGUGGCUUACCAAGGCUUUGACGGGUAGCCGGCCUGAGAGGGUGACCGGCCACAUUGGGACUGAGAUACGGCCCAGACUCCUACGGGAGGCAGCAGUGGGGAAUAUUGCACAAUGGGCGGAAGCCUGAUGCAGCAACGCCGCGUGCGGGAUGACGGCCUUCGGGUUGUAAACCGCUUUCGCCUGUGACGAAGCGUGAGUGACGGUAAUGGGUAAAGAAGCACCGGCUAACUACGUG
rnacentral:rRNA from 1 species